rnacentral:rRNA from 1 species
GACGAACGCUGGCGGCGUGCUUAACACAUGCAAGUCGAGCGGUAAGGCCCUUUCGGGGGUACACGAGCGGCGAACGGGUGAGUAACACGUGGGUGACCUGCCCUCAGCUCUGGGAUAACGCCCGGGAAACUGGGUCUAAUACUGGAUAUGACUCCACGGUGCAUGCCGUGGGGUGGAAAGCCUUGUGCGGCUGAGGAUGGGCCCGCGGCCUAUCAGCUUGUUGGUGGGGUGAUGGCCUACCAAGGCGACGACGGGUAGCCGGCCUGAGAGGGCGACCGGCCACACUGGGACUGAGACACGGCCCAGACUCCUACGGGAGGCAGCAGGUGGGGAAUCUUGCGCAAUGGGCGAAAGCCUGACGCAGCGACGCCGCGUGAGGGAUGACGGCCU